AUUGAACGCUGGCGGCAGGCCUAACACAUGCAAGUCGAGCGGAGCGGCGGACGGGUGAGUAAUGCCUAGGAAUCUGCCUGGUAGUGGGGGAUAACGUCCGGAAACGGGCGCUAAUACCGCAUACUAUCAGAUGAGCCUAGGUCGGAUUAGCUUGUGGGUGGGGUAAUGGCUUACCUAGGCGACGAUCCCUAGCUGGUCUGAGAGGAUGAUCAGCCACACUGGAACUGAGACACGGUCCAGACUCCUACGGGAGGCAGCAGUGGGGAAUAUUGCACAAUGGGCGAAAGCCUGAUGCAGCCAUGCCGCGUGUGUGAAGAAGGUCUUCGGGUUGUAAAGCACUUUCAGUGGGGAGGCGUUACCCGCAGAAGAAGCACCGGCUAACUACGUGCCAGCAGCCGCGGUAAUAC
rnacentral:rRNA from 1 species